rfam:Octopus bimaculoides Scaffold79069_contig_5, whole genome shotgun sequence.
AUACUUACCUGGCACAGGAGGAAACCAUGAUCCUCAAGGUGGUUCUCCCAAAGUGAGGCCCUUCCAUUGCACUCCGGUUGGGUUGACCUUUGCGAUCGCCCCAAAUGUGGGCGACUCGGGUGCGCUAUUUCUAAGUGUGGGGUCUGCGUUCGCGCUCACCCCGU